GAUGAACGCUAGCGGCAGGCUUAAUACAUGCAAGUCGAGGGGCAGCAUGUCCCGCAGCAAUGCGGGAUGAUGGCGACCGGCAAACGGGUGCGGAACACGUACAGAACCUUCCUUCGAGCGGGGAAUAGCCCAGAGAAAUUUGGAUUAAUACCCCAUAGUACAUUGAAAAGGCAUCUUUUUAAUUUUAAAGAUUUAUCACUUGAAGAUGGCUGUGCGGCUGAUUAGGUAGUUGGCGGGGUAACGGCCCACCAAGCCUGCGAUCAGUAACUGGUGUGAGAGCACGACCAGUCACACGGGCACUGAGACACGGGCCCGACUCCUACGGGAGGCAGCAGUAAGGAAUAUUGGGCAAUGGACGCAAGUCUGACCCAGCCAUGCCGCGUGGAGGAUGAAGGUCCUCUGGAUUGUAAACUUCUUUUAUAUGGGACGAAAAAAGGGCUUUCUAGCUCACUUGACGGUACCAUAUGAAUAAGCACCGGCUAACUCCGUGCCAGCCGCCGCCGUAACAC
rnacentral:rRNA from 1 species